rnacentral:lncRNA from 1 species
GUUCUCUAUAUGUUAAAUCCGGUGUUGGUGGUGAAGAUCUUGCUUUGAUGUGACGAUGGAAUUUCCCGGCGAGUCUUCACGGCUUGUUCAGCAGUCCUUUCUCAUCUCCGGUUCGUUUUCAUUGUCUCGCUUGGCUGGAGUCUCUCUUGGGUUUGUUUUAGUUGUUUAGUCGUGGUUAAUUUAGGAUGGUUUCAAUCUCUGGCUUGCUCUUCAUUUGAGAAGCAGUUGCUUUGUUGGCCCUUUCUCGUCGGAUCGUGUGUACGUCUUAGACGUAUGGUCCAGAUUUUGUGGCUCACAAUCUCUGGUUCUUUGCUUUUGGUGAUAGCCCGUUUUGAUGGCAUGGUUUUGGUUGGAUCUCUAGUUCUCCUUGGAUUUGUUGAUUCUUACUCUCCCUCUCUUCGGUGGUCUUUAUUGUGAGCUCCCCGAUUCGAUCUGUUGCCUUUCUUGUUUGGAGUUUGGUGUCAUCGGUUUGGAUUUUUGUCUCUACACUCAAGACCUGAUCGAGGUCUGGUCAAAUCAAAGACUUUUAUCGAGGCGUCAAAUUGUAGUAGGUUUCUACAUCGCCGCUUCCGGAAGAUUUGCGAGUCUUCUUGUGAUUUGCUUUCGUCUUGCCGGAUAUGAAGUCUAGGAUUAUUUUAUUUGGGAGGUACUCUGGCUUCAUUAUAGGAGGUUUCGUUAGCUGCUAACGGAUUAUGUUCAUCCACUGUGGUUGGCUUUUGUUCAUCUAGGAGUAAGGGAGAUCUUUUGGCAGUCUUUUUCGUUUGAGAUCUUAGUUCCAGCUGCUGUGUUUCAUUUCGCUUUUUGUGGAUUGUAAUUUCAUCGUUUUCAAAUGUUUCCCUGUAACUUAGGGCUUCUGUUUUCCUCUUUUGGGCUAUGACUCUGGGGAUAUCUCGUUUUUCCGCCGGCUUAGUUUCUGGGGGUUAAAGUCCCGCCAGUCUUUGUAUUCCAAGAACGUAUUUCACCCGUGAUAUAUAAAUAAUCUUUCAGACGAAAAAAAAAAAAGAUAGAAUUAGAAGUAGGAUUGUAGCCUUGUUGGAAGUUGAUAGAUGGGUGAUGACUGAAAAAAUAUCUCUCAUAAGCUCAUCUUCCACUAUUAUUUAAGACUAUAUGACUAUAUCUAUAUACGUAUAUAAACACAUAUGUCUUCAGUUUCGGGUUUAUAGGUACCCAUUUAUGGGUAACGGAUAAUCCCCGAUCCGAACCGAUAUUCACAGGUUGACCAAUACUCUAUCCAAUAAGGUAAUUUCCGAAUACUCUAAUCCAACCCGAUUUUUUCGGUUCGAAUAUCAGUUCGGGUAUCGGAUCCGGUUUUUUUUGUCCAUGCCCAGUGAAAAUCAUGUUGACCCCAACAGUAUCUGCUUCGACGUCACCUCUCACCUUAUUCCUUCGAUUCCCCCCAUUUUCACUUUUCUUAUAUUUUCUCCAUCUCUGUCUCUUUGCUUGCUUCCUAUACACAGUUCUUCUCUGUUCCUCUAAUCGGAAGUAUGUAUAUUGAUUCUUAUUCUUCGAUCUUCUUUUUAUGAUUUGGUUCACCUCAAUUGCAUUAGAUGGAAGAGAAAUACUCGAAAUCUCGUCUUAAAUUAUAUAUGUUCUACUGAUGAUCAUCUUGUUUGAUUGCUUCCUUGAUUAAAGUAUUGAUUUUUAUCUUUGUUUCUUGUUAGGGUUUGAAUCUUUUCGUCAAUUUUCUAUCUGGGUUUUGUGCCAGUCGAAGGAAUAAGUGAAUCGUCGUCUUGGGUUUUCUCAAUUAAGAAUAAAGUUUCCUCCUUUUAGGGUUUUUGAAUUUACUUAUCGAAUUUGAUUAUAGUGUUGGGUGAUGGAUGAUUCUUGGAGCUACGGGAGAAGCGUUUUCAUGUCAAAUGAAACUCUUUUACCUUUUGAUUCUUUUGCUGAGAAUAGAAGAUUUGAACAUAGAUUCUCUAAUGAAUUGAGGAAUGAUAAUGAUGAUGUGUUGAUUUCUGACAUGGCUGGUAACUCCAAUGGAUUCAGUGCUGUUUCUAUUACCAAAGUGGUUCCUGAAGAGGAAGAGGAAGAGAACCAAUCUUCUUCUUCAAAGUUGUCUAGUCACGAAUUGAAUAGGAUAGAUUUCAAACUUAGGAGCAUUUUGGAUUUAGGAAAUGAUGAUGAUACAUCCUCUAGAGGUUUUGCUCUGCCAGCUAAAAAGUCUCGAGCUUCAAACCUUUGCUCUCAGAAUCCCUUGUGUCAAGUGUAUGGGUGUAAUAUGGAUCUGAGCUCUUCGAAAGAUUACCACAAAAGGCAUAGAGUUUGCGAGGCUCAUUCUAAAACUUCCGUGGUCGUAGUUAAUGGUCUUGAACAGAGGUUUUGUCAACAGUGCAGCAGGUUUCUUCUUUCUCCUCUCAAGUUGUCGUUUUAACUAACAUAUCAUGCUUGAUGGAUCUUGAUUGUUUGUUUCUUUUACCUUUUUCUUCUGUUCAGGUUUCAUUUCCUCUCAGAGUUUGAUGAUGGCAAAAGAAGUUGCAGAAGGCGAUUAGCUGGUCACAAUGAACGAAGAAGAAAACCUGCAUUCUAUUUCCUACCGGGUAAGCGCCAUAAGCUUCUUCGCACCUCUCAAGGUACUCAGUCUCUGUCUUUUCGCUAUCCAUUGAUGUAUUGAAUUAGCAAACUUGUGCAAGUUUGAAUCCAUUCUGUGUGUAAAUAGGUGUAGUAGGCAACAAGUUUCUGGAGAAUCCAUCGUUGGUAUUGCCAGAGUCAUUUCCUGGUAGUCUCUUAUACAGAGUAAUAGAUGACGACGACCACCGUGCAAGUAGACUCGUGAGUUUCAAAGAUGAACCUACUUGCUCUAUGUUUCCUGCUAUUGGGCAAAACAGCAGCAGAACUUAUGAAUCUAAACCAGCGAUUUAUUCAGCGGAAGUAUCCUCUAUUUGGGACUUACAUGAGACGGCGGUUUCACGCUCUACUUGUGCUCUCUCUCUUCUGUCAGCUCAGUCCCAACAACACUUGUCUCAAAUUCCAAACACAACAUUCUCAAUCACCCAACCAAACCAAAAUCCCAAUCACCCAUCACAAGUAGACUAUCAUGAAAUGGAACCGUUAUGGAUCGAUCCUGGCAAGACCAAUUCUGCUGGUUCUAGUUCAUGUAAAGGAAAAGGACCAUCCACGGUUGAUCUACUGCAACUGUCAUCACAUCUUCAAAGAAUCGAGCAACAGAGGAAUUACACUGGUGAUGUGAAGCAGGAAUAUAACGAGCUUUAUUUCCCUGGCUCUUAAAAAAAGGUUACAACAUUCUUAUUCCUUAAAACCGGUUCGAGCUUCUUGAGAUUUUCUGCACUAUAGGACAAGACAAGCCUGCGUGGUUUGAUUAGUUUAUUAAUUUGGGUGUGGUAAUUAUUAGAUUGGUGAAAUAGAUAGAGGAAUGAAGAAGAUCAAAUCAUGUUACAGGUAUUAUUGUAAUUUGUAACUGUUGUGUUGUUAUUCAUCAGUCAAUAAUGUUCUGAAGAAAAUUGCUUCAGAUAUCUAUGCCUGUUUCUUUUACACAGCGUUUCAGUCUCUUUUUUUUUCCGGACAAUUUGUAUAUAUAAUUGUAGUGAAUAUUCGCUGAAAAAGUGAAUUUUCACUUUUGUUUUGUUUUGUUCUGUACACUCACGUCAUCUGAGAUUCUCGAAUUCGAAGUUAGGAUGUUGAAAGUUGCAAGCUAAGUCCUUGGAAAAAUAUUAUGUCCUAGAUGGAAGAGGAAUAAGCAGAUAAAUUUUUGAUAGGAUUAAGACAAAUAAAGACCAGACAUAAACGUCCAAAGGGACAUAGCAAGUGACGUUACUUUCAAAUCUAAAGACAGACAGAAAUAUAAAGUCAUAGAAACUAAGGCAACAUCAUUUUCUGCAACAUGACAUACAUAAGGAAAAUUACAUGAACAACACAAGAUGAGAAAAACGACGCAGCCACUCGCACACGUGCAUGCGUUUGUUAUUUUUGGCUUCUUUUCCCCUGAGAUUUUUUUUUUCACUUCUUCUCACCGAACCCCAAGCCCUAAUUGAACAAAACAUUUGAAUUUUAAGUCUGUAUAUAAUAUUGUAUAUAAAUGUCCUUAUCCAGACUGAGUUUGUAUAGCGUACAUGGAUCAUGUUGUGGCCUCCGGAAGUAAUGGAAGUAGGAGAGUUGGGUAUGUACUUAGCCCACUGUUUGUGACAUUUUUCAAUUACACAAACGAAAUUGUGAAAAAAAUAUUUAUUAAUGAAAAAAAUGGUUGGUAACAAAAAAAAACUUGUCGUCUUACAUUUUUGGCAGCAGCACUGAAAGCUUCACGGUGUGGUAUUUCCGGAUUAGCACUUUUGAUUCGUUGGAUCUCAUCCCUUUUUAUAUUUUUCAAAACCAAAAAAGAUGAAGAAGAGUAAUUUUAUAUAUAAUUAAUGUUUAUGCAUUAAAUUUCAUAAUUUGGAAAUGAAGAAUAUAUAUAUGUCAAAGGUUAAAACCUCAUGAAGCGGUUGUAUGCAGAUGGAAGUCUCUGCUUCUUCUCAGGAGCUACAAUACAAAAAGAUGUUCAACAAAUUAUCAUUUAUUAUGUAGAUAGUGAUUAAAUUUAUAGAAGAAAAAAGAGUCAGAAAUGGUAAUAAGCUUAAUUACGUUUAACGACAAAGGGUGGUGUGGGGGAUGGUGGCUGGUCGCUGGAGGUAGAGGAAGAGGAAGAAGAAGAGCUUCCCUUCUUAUACUCACUCCCACCAAAGCUCUGCAUCUGCUUAAUUAAGAAAAUUACGAUAGGCUUAGUAUCACAUUUUUUAUUUAUAAAGAAUUAUACUCAUAUGUAUAACUAUAAAGCAAGUGUUAUAUACCUGAAGGGUGAGGCUGACAUGGCCUUGGAGAGGAGGAGUUGUGGUCAGAAACGAGAGGUUACCGCAAUGUCCGCAUUUCACUGUCACAGUGUCAAGCAUUCUCUUCAAUGGUAUCCCAACCUAUAUAUGUAUGUAGAUUAGGUUUACAAUUAGUUCAAAAUUUUGAAGAAAAUUUCACAACAUAAACAACAAUAUAUAGAUUCGCAUGCAUGACAUAUUAUCUACAUAAAUAUAUAAGGGUCAUGCACGUAUAUAUGCUUAGCCAUCUUCUGAUUUGUGUGGGUCACUUACCGCGAGGAUGGUGUUGCAGAUGCUACACCGGACGUAGUAGAGAUGUUCGGUUUGAGGGGAAGCCCUUGAAGCUGCCAUGGUUGGUUUCUCUUCAAGGUUCAUGAUCUUUAGCGAAUGGAUUGAAAACCGCUCUUGAAAGAAAGAGAGAGAUAAAGAAUCAGAAGAACUUUGUAGAGUUAGGGUUAUGGUUAUUUUAUGAGUUAGAAGGCUUGUAUUUAUAGAACAAACAUAGUGAGACCAUGAGAUGUAUAGAGAGAGGGAAAGAUUGUCCAAGUGUUGGACGUAUAUGCAGUCCAUAAUUUCAUUUUUAUAAUUUAUUUUAACAACAAUUAAUAUAUAUCUUAUCAAAAAAAAAAACCAAUUAAUAUCUUUUUUUCUUUUUUUUUACCAAUUAAUAUCUUAAACAAAUGACUUGAGGUGUAGACACGAAUUUUGGAGUGUGACAUUAUAAUUUAUGUGUUUUCUAGGGAUAUCUUACUUACUAUUCUAUUUUGUAACCACUGCAAUAAAUGUUUUAACAGAUAAAACAAUUUGGAACAACAAGUUUAAUUUAAAAAAAAAAAAAGUUUAAUUUGACGAUUAAUCUACGUUUCCGCAUGAUUCGGUAAGAUAAAUAAAUUAUACUAAUAUAUUAUUAACUGACUUUUAAAAAAGAUACGCAGAAUUUAAUGUAAAAACAAACUUUUAACAAAUUAAUUUUAUGUCAAAUCAUAUAUAUGAAUUAAAUUAAAGGGACCGGAUCUAGGGCUUUAUGACUUUUAUCUGUGUUGCUACUAUUGCGGAUGAUAGUACAUACUCCCUCUGCAAAAUCUUGCAGACGUAUUUAAUUUUGCUUCAAAAAUAUCAAGACUCUAAAUGUCACUCCUCGUACAUUAGUUUUUGCUAUAAUAAGCUGUGCUGAAGAUUAUUCAAUCAUGUUUUUCGUAUAAAUAUGAUUAUUUUUUAGUUAACACUAUACCUUAAUUAAUCAUGUGUUAUGUGUAAAUAACUCAUAAGUACUAGUCCAAAAUUAACUCAAGAUCAGAAUGAAAACAAACAAUCCAAUACUUUCCUAUACAUCAAUAUUUUCAAAAUAAGCAGAUAUACAUGGUGUAAGAUAUAUAUUCAUGACCAUUGGUUUAAGAUCGAUGUAUAUAUAUUUUCACUUUAUAUUCACCAGCUUCAACAUCGUACAGAUAUUAAUUAUGACACAUAUAUGCGAUGCAAAAUGACAAAAAGAGAUGACCAAUUAAGAUAUUAAAAUUAUAUAUUACAUAAUACAUGGUGUGAAUAUGAUUACAUUCAUUCAAGUUUGAUGCCAGAAGUCUUGACUUGCCCACAUGUUAUAAAUUAAGAAUGGUCCUUUCCUGAUCUUUGAUCUGUUCCUUUUUUUGUUUCUCUCAUAAAAUUUUCACGCAAAAUGAUUUCACUGUAAAACUGAGAACAAAACUUGUCAUGAUUCACAACUUUUUUCUUCAUCGUGAAAAUUUUAACUCAAUUGCAUUAAUAAGUUAAAUACAAAAAUCGUUUAACUGUAGGGAAACAACAAAAAAAAAAAAAAUGGAUCUUCUUUAGACACAUCCAACUAUACAUACAUUGGAUCCAAAAGCAGAAUCUUUUGAUUUGCCACUUAUCUAUGUUAUUUUUUAGUUAUAGGAUUUACAAUUUAUAUUUUAUGUUUAAGGAUGUGUUGUACAUUGCACAACAAAUUUUCUGUUUUAGUUUUGUUUAUUACAUACAUGUAAAAGUUAAGUUCUCUAGACUGUUGGUUUCUGAGGUAUGUAUUAAUCCGAUCCAUAAAAAGAGUGAUAAUUCAGCAACAUUAUUUGACGAACAAAAGAAAAUUCAGCAACGUUAUUUUUUGGGAGAUAAACACACUUUUAUUGCUGAAUUUUAGAUAGAACAAGCAUAUUUGUUAGCAUACUAAUUAUAGGGAAGAUGAGUAAGAUGUGAGGGCGUUGAGCUAAAUCAAAAAUCAAAAAUAGAAACUUGAAAAGAUAGUGAAGAAAAGAGGAGCUAUAGAAUGGAUUCCAUCUUUUGUGCAUGCACUGCCCCACAGGGAAAUUGGAAGGAGACAAGUGAUCAAUCACACGUCUCUUUCAGUGACUAACUUUUUUGCAUUCUUCACUUUCCUUAGAUUUCCUACUUCUACACACAUAUUGGGCUUACUUACAAUUUCAUUUGAUUAAAGUUUUGCUCUCAAUGUUAGAACUAAUAUAUAAAUAGAUUAAUGAAAGUCCUCAAUUUCUUUAGUUGAUAACAAAAAAAAAACAUGAAUAACUCAUUCUAUUUGUGGAAGCCCCCUUGGCCCAUUGGUUGAUCAAGGGUUAAUUAAUGCUUCUACAUCUAGAGGUCUGGGGUUCGAGUCCCAGAUACUGCGAUUUAUUAAUAUAUUUGCAGAUUAUUAGAGGCAAGUAUGCAUGAGAUCUCCAGCGAUGUACAAUUAUAGCCGUUCGCCAGGAUUCUACGCAGAGAGUGAAGUGUCCAUUAAGAGCAGGAAGAAGGAGGUGAAAUAGGUGAUCAUGAAAAAGGAGGUGAAAGAGGUGAUGUCUGUCGUGGAUCUAAUAAAGGUCGGAAGGAAUUGUCAGUUGUAGAAUCGUCUAUGUAACAGUUCUCAUAAUUUGCAAUAAAUAAUAAAUCUAGAAGAAAAAAGAAAAAAAAACUCUUUCUAUUUAAUAUGCUUUGUAAACAUUUAUUUUUAACACUGUACGCUAGUCUAAUUCCAAAAUCUGCAAUAACAAAAUCUCUGAUCGAUUCAUAUCUAAUUUAAAAAAAUUAUUGAUACUUUAUUUUGUUAAAAUUAUUGAUACGUUAUUUUGUAAUCUAAGAAAGUUUAACCAUGCACAAUGAACAAUUAUCCUCAAGUUUUUAUUUAUGUAUCCAUUUUUAUCAAUACAAAAUCUCAUCAUAAAAAAAAAAAAAAAAAUUUAGCAAAUCUCAUCGCAUUGGCAUUAAGAUAGAAAUGUGAAUAUUUUUUUUGAAUAUUUCCAUAUUUUGACUUGAAGCAUACUAAACCAGAGAUGUAACUGAAAAUUUUAGAGUAAGAUUUGUAUAUAAUAAGGUUAAUUGUAUAUUAUAGAAGAUUAGUUGUAUAUAAUAAAUAAGGUAAUCGUGGACUAGAAAUUUUGAUAAGAUAUCUCUGUCUGCAUCUUAAAAAAGGUGACUGAAAUUAAAUUAUGUUUAUUGAAGAAAAGGUUGGGGACUAUGACUGUGAGAGAUGGGACGGUUGCCAAAAAAGGGAAGAGAGCUAAUAAGAAAUUAGGGUUUAGUCAGGUUUCCAUGCUCGUAUAACUUCAUUACUCCGACUCUUUAAAGCUUUGCCUUUACCCUCUCCUCUAGCUAUCUAUCUAUUUAAUACCACCAUUAUUCAUACAUCCACUACUUUUACGUACACUUAAAUAUAUAAUCAUUUUUAUAUUUGUCAUGUAUAUCUCAAAAUAUGCCUUUUUUCUUGUCGUGUACUAAAUUAUUUUGUGCCUAAUUAGCAUGGCUUAGUCGAGUUAAUAUUUAAUGAUAACUAAUUCAUUAGCUACCGGUUAUGAUGAGACGAGCGUUUAGAUUUUUAUUUAUUUGAAUGCACCUAUCAUGGUUUUUGUUUUGGGUAUUAUAUGAUAUGAUAGUUUCGGUGUUCCAAAUUCAGAAUGUGGAAAUGUGUAAUCUAUCACAAAGUAAUUGACCGUUAUAGUGUUUUGUGGGUACAAAAUUAAUAAUGGACAUCAGGACAUAUGUAAUUUGAGCGUGGAAGAGAGGAUCAAUGGAUCAUGAGUAUAUUUGCAAGUCGUUUAGAUUGUUCCUAACGUACUUACGGUAUUUAGUUAAAAGACAAUAUAUAUAUAUAUAUAUAUAUAUAUAUAUAUAUAUAUAAUUCACCAACAAACAAAAUAGAUUACUGUAUGAUCGUUACUAAAUUAAAUCAUUUAUUUUUUAGAGCAACACAGAAUUUUUUACUAGGCUUUAGAUCGUGAAAUCAUCAACUUCACGAUCUAAUCAUCAACUUUAGAUCAUUAACAUCCUCCAUAAUCUCCAAGUAGUCCCACCGUCUAUCAUUUUCAAGGCUUUAGAUCGUGAAAUCAUCAACUCUAUCUACGCAAGGAGGCAUCGAAGGAAAUUCAGGAAAUUAAGGAGUCUUUGGCUCUGAUUUGAACUUCACCAAGUUAAAGAGAUUAGUUGUUUGCUUCCUUGUUUUUUAUUUUCUUUUUGCCAAAGAACCAAAAGUUAGGUAAUCAACAUGUAAAUCCAAACUUUUUUUAUUUUAUAUGAUAUUAACAAUUUAGCAAAAAAAAAAAAAAAAAAUUUCUUACUAGUGACUAGUUAUGUUCAUAAUGUAUAAUAAUUCAAUACUCUCUCUCAACUCUCAAGAAUACAAAUAAAUAUAAAGUAUUAAAUCAAUAUAUAAUUUACAUAGAGGCUUGAAAACAUUUUAUAAUAUAAACAAAAAAUCUCUAAAACAUCUUAUAUUAUGAAACGGAGGAGCCGUAAUAUUUGUUAUAACCGAGUCUGCUAAAUAAACAUUAUCAUUUUCCGUUUUUAUUGGUUAUAUAAAACUGUAGCACAUCAAAAAAAUCUCAAUUUUACAGAUAAGUGGAAUGCAACAUUUGUAAACUUCCUUGAGAGAUCUUUAUUCUUUACCUAAUUAGAAAAACAAGAAAUUCUAUAAUUUGAAAAAAAGAAAAAGUCAAAAGGAAAGUUCACCAAACCCACUUGAGUUUAAUAGAAACACACAAAGCUAAGAAGCAUCACAGUUCACAUCAAACGUAAAGAGGUCUCUACUCAUUCGCAGCUUCUACUCUUCCUUUUUCGGAAACCCUAUCGCUCUCUUUCCGAUUUGACUUGUCUUUAUUAUUAUUAGUUGUUGUUCCUAAUUAAUCACUUUCUCUUAUGUGUUUUCAAUAUAGCACUAGACAACAUAGCCUUUAGUUGAUCUUUCUCGUGCCAAUUUUGAUUCUCUUAUUCUAAAUUACUUCAUCUUCCGCUUCCAUUUAACGUUUUCCUUUAUGAAUUUCUUUUUGACUAACUUUUCUUGUCGACAGUUGUCGUCUCUUUCUCCUAUAUACUAAAUUUUUCAUUCCUUCAACGUUGUUGUGUAGGUAGUUUCUUCUAUCUAUUUGAAAGAUAAGUAAGAAAGCACCAAUAUUUCCUAACCUCCAUCGGUUGCCAUAAAUUUGAUUAUGCCCAAAUGAAAUCUGAAAAAAUAAUGUCUAUAUAUAGGUAAAAUGAAAUCUAAAAUUUCAUACAAAAAAAAUGAAAUCUAAAAACAAAUUGAGUGUCACAUGUUCUUGAUGACUGCUCUUAUGUCUUAUCUGAUUCCUUGCACAAUAGUCCUUUCUUCUCAAUUUGCAUCACAAUAUAAUAUCUUCAUUACACAUUUUGUUUUCCACCCUUCAAUUUGCAACAGUAUAUACAAUUUUUGUUUUGUUUUGUUUAAUAAAUAAAAUAAAAUAACAGUGUUUUGUAUGAUUGUAAUGUAACCCACUUUCAAACUACAAAAUUAAAAGAAGCAAGCCAUCGACUCACAUCUUCAUCAAAAGCAAAAUUCACGCUUCUCACAUUCUCUUUGUAUUCAUGAUUCCAUGCAUCGAUCUCAUAAAAAGGCAACUACGAAUUGUGGAGAAGGACAUCUGUCUUCGAUCCCUUAUUAUACAUCAAAUACUUAAAAAACAAAACAUAUCAUCCAUGAAAUAAGUUGCACUACCUCUUUUUCUACUUCUUUUUUUCCUUAUUUUAGUACCAUCUAGAUUCAGAUCAGGUUCUUGGCAAAAAUAUGAUUUAAGGCUUAAAAGAAUACAAAAUCGCGAUAAAAUCCACCAACAGUUUUUCCUCUACAGUAUGAUCGAUAAUGAGUUUGGAUUUGGUGUGUUGUGCAAAGAUGUUUUAAGUAAAGUGUUUUGCCCCUGAUGACUUUUAGAACCAAAAUGAUGACAAAACUGCAGAUUUAAAAACUACGAAAAAACUUUUAAAAUGAACUGAAUUUACUAGGGUAAAACAAAUAAACUUAGUUUUAACAUCAUUUUUAUGUACAUAUGUUCUUAAUACCAUGCUACAAAUCAUAUACUAAUCGUCCAUUUUGACCCUUUUUUCUUCAUCAUUGCAUCGCAUAGCCUUGCCGCGUCUACAUUAUCUCUAACAUUAUGAACUCUAAUGAUAGUAGCACCUUUUAAUAUCCCUGCAGUAACACAAGCAACAGUUGCAGGAUCUCUUUCACUUGCCUCAGGACGACCACAAAUAUCUCCCAAAAAUCUUUUCCUUGAGGGUCCUAUAAGUAUAGGUGCAUGAGACAAACCUAUACUCUUCUUACCCAUCUCUUCCCUGAUUUUUGGUAGCUCCAUGACAAUUUCUAAAUUAUGAGCUAUUCCCUUAGAAAAUCCAAUUCCUGGAUCAAUCAUAAUCCUCCAAGCUGGAAUCCCAGAGAGUUCUGCCUCUCUUACUCUCUCAUAAAGCUCCGAAGCAACAUCUUUGCAUAUAUCAUUAUACUCCAAAUUCUCUUUGUUUUGCAUUGUACAUGGAUCUCCUCUCAUGUGCAUGAUCAUAUAAGGAACAUCAGAAUCCGCAAUAACCAUAUGCAUGUUCGGGUCUAAACUUCCUCCAGAGACAUCAUUCAAAAUGUCAGCUCCAUUUCUUAUUGCUUCUAAAGCAACCUCAGAGUUAAAAGUGUCCACUGAUAUGAGCUUUCCUUUCAUCUCAGCCAUACCUCGAACAACUUUUAAAACCGGAAUUAGUCUAUCUAUCUCUUCUUGAGUAGAAAUUCUUGAGGCCAUUGGCCGCGUUGACUGUGCACCGAUAUCAAUAAUAUCGACACCUUCAGAGAUCAUCAAGCGGACUUGAGAAACCGCUGAAUCUAUAGAUUGAAACUUACCUCCAUCACUAAAGCUAUCAGGAGUAAGAUUAAGUAUACCCAUCACAUAAGUUUUCUUAGAAAAAUCCCAUAAAUCAUCUCCUAUUGGUACAACCCUUUGUAUACCGCCUUUUGCAAGCAAUGAUUCACCACCUAACCGCUCCCACGCUUGAAAAACUCCACCUGGAUGGAUUGAGAGUGAAUGCCAAUAUGAAACUAUAUGAUCAUUAUCAAUAUCUUCUGUUCCAAGCAAAUCUACCAAAGGUGCUAAUACAAAUGGUCUUUCCCAGAUUCUCUCAUGGGGAAUGAUGAGUUUAUCAGAAGUUAUUCUAUGCUUCCCAUAGAACAAUAUGUCCAAGUCAAGUGGUCUUGGUCCAUACCUUAAACCAUUCUCUUUACGACCCAUCUCUUUCUCAAUUUUCUUGAGAAUGUUCAAGAGUUCAUGAGGUUCGUGCUUUGUGGUACCUCUUAUUGCAGCAUUGAGAAAUCUUGGUUGGUUGGUCACAUGAACAGGUUCUGUUUCGUACAAACAACUAUGUCUUAUUACACAGAUCCCAUAGUCUUUCAUCAAUCGUAAAGCUUCUCUAAAAUUAUUCAUUCUGUUUCCAACAUUGCUUCCUAAAGCAAUCACUACUUCUUCUAAAGUUGUUGUUUCCAAAGAUGCGAAAUCUGAGUCAUAUACAAAAUAUGUUUCGAAGGUGAAAUAGGAUUCAAAAAAUUUAUACUUUUCUAAAUAAUUACUUAAACAUAGAUAGUGUAUCAAUAAUCAAAACGUAAACAAUGAAAAUGAAACGGAUGAAGAAGAUACGAACCCAUUUUAGAUUAUUAUAUUCUGUUCCGGCCCAAAUAACACUAUUAUUUGCUUCGAUCUGACCUGAAAGUAUACAAAACUAUGAGUUUAGUCCUUCUUUUUUUGUGUGCAAAAACUAUGAGUUUAGUCUUAGAUUAAAAAAAAAAACAAUUAUCAGAAACACAAAAUGGGUUCUAAUAUUUUAAGAAGAACCAAAGAAGUAAACAAUACUUUUUUAUGAGAGAGAUAAGAUGGUAGCCAAUUUUCACAUACUUUUUCUCUGAACUAGUUUUGUUAUUCGAGUACCUUGUGUCUUUCACGCUCGUCAAAAAUCAGCUUCUUUCGAAUUAGAUAUGAAGGUUUAGAAAAAAAAAGACAAAAAAGAGAAGAAAACUUUGUUAAAGAGAUUUUGAAAUUGGUAGUGAAUCUCUCAUAGUUGGGGUGAUGUAAAAAAGAGGGAUGUUACCAAUUAAAUACCAGUUCAUCUCCAUAGUAAACAAUUAUGAUCAGUUCAAUCUAACAAUGAAGAUUGAUGAAUUUGCUUAUUCCUCAUUUAUUUACAUUUUACUAUCUUUAGAUAAGUGUAAUAAUCUUUUACCAAGUGCACUCUUUCUAUUUGAUAAUGUGUAAUAAUCUUUUACCAAGUGCACUCUUUCUAUUUGACAAGUGUCAUACGUUGAUAUUUUAAUUAUUAUUUUUGUCUUUUUUAUAUGAUUUAUUCUGUAUUAUGACUUGAUAAUUGAUCAUAUCAUCUAAUUAACUCUUAUUGUUCAAAAAGUUUCUAUUUAAAAUUUCCUACUUUGAUAUUUUAAUAUCUCUUCUUAUCUCUUUCAUAUGAUUUUUUUCUAUUUAAUGACUUGAUAUAAUCUAAAUAUAUUUAGUUUUCCCACAUCUAAAUGUAUUUAGUUUUCCUAUUUUUCUAUAGUUGUUUUCUUAUAUCAAUUUUGUAUUCAGAAAAUUUUCUUUUCAUUAAUUUUAUUAUCUAUUCCAUUUUUUUUACUAUUUAAAUAUAUAUUUGGAUAGAUGAUGGAAAAAUGUGUGUUACAGUCCAAUUAUUUAAUUUCCACCUUUAAAACCACAUCAUUUUUUUGUUCGUCAACCACAUCAAAUUUUUCAUUUAUAAAGUUUAUUGAAUUUUUUUGUGACUACAUCAAUAUUCUUGCAUACCAAAUUACCGAUAGUCGAUUCAACUGUUCUGUUUUUUUUUUUUGUUAUCAUAACUCGAAACAAUAUUAUUUUCAUUUAUUUAGCAAAAAAAUAGCCGUUUUACUUUUACCAUAACAUUAUUCUUCUCGUGUUAGAAUUUGUAUUAAGUUUCUCAUCACACCAGAUGUAUAUGAUUUCAAUGAAUGGUAAGUUUUCGUGGCUUUGUUGGAAGCCAAUUAACUUCACAACGAACAAAAUUUAUCCUUGCAGUAAUUUUUAUAUAGCAAACGAUUUCACGAAAAACUACACAACAAUGCAAUUCUACCUACACUUAAAAAAAAUAUGUACUAUAGAAUAUAGAUUAUUCUAAAUGCACUAUGCUUACGGUAUAUAUAUAUUUUUUUAUGUAUCACUAAAAGUGUAAAACUAUCAUAUUUUUCUUACUGAUCACAAAGAAGAAAAAUGAGCCGUAAAUAAAUUUAGUAAAGAAGAGUAUGGACAUCUUGACGUUUUCACAUUUACAACAUAGAACGCGUGCCGUUUUGUUAAAGCGCUAAACCUCUCCCUCAUCCUCUCCCAGCUAGCUCUCCUCUUGCGGUUUCAGAGCUUAAACCCCAAUCUCCCUCAAACUCAUAAACUUAUUGCUCUCCUGUGUUGAUUUCUGGGUUUAGGCUUCUUUCGACUUUAUGGGUUUCGGAGCUUAGUUUCAGUACAAUUUCGUUUCGAAAAGAGCUCUUAUUUGAUGUCCAUGGCGUCUCUCUCCUUCACCCAAUUCUUAUCAUUUCCCAGGUCCCUUUGCUUCUAUCGCUCUUGUUUUCUUCCAUGGGUUUCUAUGGAUUUGGCGUAGAACUACUUUGCUGCCCAGAAAUGUGCGAAUGCUUUUCUUAUCUUUCUACAGAAGAAUGAGUAACAAUGAUUUGAAUUGAGUGCUUUUUUUCGCUGAUUUGUAUCCACUUUCUUGUUCAAUUUAGUGGAAAGCCAUGUUAUUUCUGUUUGAAAAUUCCACAUUUUGAUGUCAUGGUUUUCUCAUAGCUGUGCUUAAUUUUGGCAGAUGCAAUGCAGAUGUUCCUUGUCUGCUCCAGUCGCUGGGUUUUGUGAAGUUUAGAGGUGAAAGAUGGAAUGGGAAACAAAGCUUUCCUAUGGCUGCUGGUAGGAGAAAGCUAUCAGAGUCAGCCCCUCUUGAAGACGAAGGCAAUGAUGGAAACGGGGCGGUUGGGGGGAAGAAACCAUCGAAAAGUGUUAGGAGAGGUGGUGCUCGAACAACGAAGAAGAAGGUGGUAGCAACUGAUGAACCAUUAGAAGAAAGUUCUCAACUUUUGGUAGAUAGUGAUGGUGUUUUAGACAAGGAAAGCACUGUUUCAGCUUUGAAACCAAAGACAAGAACUAGAAAGAAAGGUAAUGACUUUACCAUUUCUGAGAUGAUUGGUCCUCACUUGAUGAUUCACUAGUGCAUAAUUUGAAUUCUACAUAUUUACAGCUGCAGCAGCUUCUUCUGAUGUGGAGGAAGUAAAAACCGAGAAGAAAGUGAGACGAAAGAGGACUGUUAAGAAAGAUAAAGAAAUGGAGGAUGAUUUAGCUACUAGUACUCAUGACGAGGUUAGUGAUGUCGAGGAAGCCUUGGCUGUUGAAAGCACUGAUACCGAGAGUGAAGAAGAAGAGAUUGAUCUGAGUAAACAUGACAGUGAAGAUAUUAGUCACACUUAUGGAUGGCCUCCUCUUGUGUGUUGCUUUGGAUCUGCACAACAUGCUUUUGUGCCCUCGGGAAGGCCAGCUAACAGGCUAUUAGAUUAUGAACUACACAAACGGAUGAGCGAUGCAAAGUGGGCCCCGGAGAAGUAUAUCCGGGCUCCUGGAGGAUGUGCAGGAGGUGUUGCUAUUGCUCUUGCAAGCUUGGGUGGUAAGGUUGCUUUUAUGGGCAAACUCGGGGAUGAUGACUAUGGUCAAGCCAUGUUGUAUUACCUGAAUGUGUGCAAAGUCCAAACUAGAUCAGUUAAGAUUGAUGGUAAAAGGGUUACGGCAUGUUCUACUAUGAAGAUCAGCAAGAGAGGUCGCUUGAAAUCGACUUGUAUCAAGCCCUGUGCAGAGGAUUCACUUUCAAAAUCUGAAAUCAACGUUGAUGUGCUCAAAGAGGUAAAUAUUGUCUUGGAGAUUUGGAACAUUGAGUUUUUUACUCUUUUUCUUGUUCACCAAUCUCUUAACUUUGAUGCAGGCGAAAUUGUUCUACUUCAGCACGCAUUCUCUACUCGAUAAGAAGAUGAUGUCGACUACGAUACAAGCCAUCAAGAUAUCAAAGCAACUAGGCACUGUCAUUUUUUAUGACUUGAAUCUCCCUUUACCACUAUGGCAGUCCAGCGAAGAAACCAAGUCUUUCAUACAGGAAGUGUGGGAUCUUGCAGACAUAAUUGAAAUCACAAAACAGGAACUUGAAUUCUUAUGCGGAAUCGAGCCAACUGAAGAGUUCGAUACAGAAAACAAUGACAUCAGUAAGUUUGUCCAUUAUCCGCCAGAAACUGUGGAACAGCUUUGGCAUGAAAAUCUCAAGGUCUUGUUUGUGACCAAUGGCACUUCUAAGAUCCAUUACUAUACCAAAGAGCACAAUGGUGCUGUUUCUGGAAUGGAGGAUGCUCCCAUUACUCCUUUUACAAGGGAUAUGUCAGCAUCUGGAGAUGGCAUCGUUGCAGGUACACUUUUCGCUGUCUUUUUUUUGUUUCUCAUAGCAAUUGGAAAGUUAUGCUGGUGUUAACUGAACUACAUUACUCUCUAUUUCAGGUCUAAUAAGAAUGCUUACGGUUCAGCCAGAUCUUAUGAACAAUAAAGGGUACCUGGAACGAACAGCAAGAUAUGCAAUUGAGUGUGGUGUUGUUGAUCAAUGGUUGCAGGCACAAACCCGAGGAUAUCCUCCAAAGGAUGACAUGGAAGAAGAAGAUGAUGAUGAAGAAGAUGAAGUGGAAUCAGAUCCAAACGGUAUAAGAUCGAUAACAGAGAGGGAAUACCAAACCUCAAAGCCUUAUGAUGAACCAGAUGGUCCAUACGUUAUGAAACCAGUAGAGGAAAGGGAAUACAAGAAGUUAGAGCUUGUUGGCUCAAUGUUUGAAGAUGGUAGUUUAUGAUUUUCAUAAGAACUGAUAUUAUUUCUGUUAGUCAGCUUUUUUCCCUGUUCGCAUCUUACAACAUCUUAGUAGUGUGAAUUUUUGUCAUAUGUUUUAAUAUCUAGACCAUUAUAUUAAACACAACCUAGUGUACACUAGUGAGCUUAGAGAAGAUAUGUCUAACGGGAUAGAGAAAUGAUCCAAAAACAGCAAUGUGAAACCCUUAGAGACAAUGAACUUCCUUUACUAGCAACUCUACUUCUACGUCUACUUAACUAAUCCAAGUAGAGAUUUAUCUUCUUGUGAUCUGUGAAAGGCAGUGUGAUUCUCAAGUCCUUUUGUUUCCGGCUUAACGGUCUGCCUUUGCUUUCGGGAUCUCUGUUCUCCUUCACAUCUGCUAAUUUCCAGACACAGUUAUCCGAUUCUGCAUCGAUAGACUCCAAGAGAAACACUGCAGUUUUCACUACUUUCCUUGAGUUGGUUUUCUCUACAUAGCUUACUGUCAUUGGCAUCUCCUUAAAUCGAGGCAAGUCCUCUGGAACUCUCAGCAGCCUCUCAGCUCCUGGAGAUGACACCUUUACAGAAAAAAACAACACGGACACAAGAUUUAGAACAAAUUGACCCUGAGUGGUCGUUGAUUCAUGGAGAAAGACUCUUUUUACCUCAAGGGCUAGAUCCUCUGGGAUUACUUUUUCAGCCCCAGCAUCAUCUAGUCUUUUCUUAAAUUCCCGACUAAAUUCCUCAAGCUUAUCCAUGGUAGGACAUCCAUAUCUUUGUACAAGGAAAAACAAGAAGCUUUCUUUAGUUUCUGAAACAUACUGCUUUCGCAAUGGUUUGAUAUAGAAGGGUGAAGAAUCUUACUCAUUUGAGAGUUUGUCUAGUCUGACAUAUAUAUAUCCACGAGGUGAAGUUUUGAAAGCAAACAAUUCCAACUCUUCCUCAGACUGUUUCAAAACUUCUGCAGCAAUAGAGAGAACUUUUUCACCCCAUGGCACAUCUCGAAGAACAAUUCCACCACCAUCUCCUCCAUCACCAAGCUGUAAAACAGAAGAAAGAUUAGCUUAAAAGAAUCGAAGAAUCAGAGUAGCGAAGUGAUGAGAAAAUGUAGGAGAACUAUACAUAAGAUUCAACUUCCUCAUCUUCUUCUUCUUCCCAAUCUUCUAUGACCUCAACAUCAUCAGUUGUUUUAUCUGCCAAUUGGAUUGGAAGCAAAUGUGUUAUGAGACCAACAGUAUCUUAUGACCUUUAGGAAAUACCAGCUUCUAUGGACAAGAAAAGACAGUUUCUAACUUAGAACAUACAAAAAGUGUGUUACAUGAGACCAAACGUUUCUGACUUGUCAGGAAACUCUUAAGGGGCAUUUACAUAACUCAACUGCGAAAACAUUAAAAUUCUAAGGUGAAGCAACCGUUUGGCUAAAAGUGAGCAACAUUAAAUUUUAUAAGCAGGAGACAUUUUAACAAACACCUUAUAGACACGAAAAAGACCUAAACAAAUUCUAAACCCAGAAGAUAGAGAGGCAGUCAAAGAAGACAAGGUUGAUUUAUUUUAUCUUACAUUCAAAAGUGUCUUCUUCGCCGCCAUUACUACCGGCGGAUUUUGGCGGUCGAACUGAAGGAGAAGGAGAAGAAGACGAAGAAGAAAACCUAGAGAUUGAAGAAGAGAAAGGAAAAUAGCGAGGAGGAGUCGUCUUUGGAAGUAGUAAGGAAGAAGAAAAUUGCCUAACGGAGAACCAAGUCGCCGGUGAGGUUAAACGGCGAGAAGCUCGAAACAAAGCAGAGAGACUUUGGUAUCUCACCAUGCUUCUUCGAAUUACCCACAGGACACGACUUGUAAUAAUAUUUAUUCAACCUAAGGAAUUCUAUUUAUACGAGUGUUAUAAAAUCCGUUUCUUACAUUCAAUCUUCUAGCAAUUGUGCUAAGAGGAUACAAAAUUGAUUGGUUUUUAAAAAAACGUUUAGGAAAAAUAAAGAUGUACUUGUCGAGCCAACCUAUACUAUACUAAUACAAGAGUAGCAACAGAUAUGAACAUAGAAAUACUUAGAGGCGGAGAAUAGUGCGAAGAGUAUCGCAUAGAUUUUGAAUGGUUUGCUGCUCCUGCGUUGCUUGCAAUUCCUGCAGCGGCAUUUCCUCGUAACACCUGCAAUCAGCAGAAUGGGUUUUUAGGUUUCUAGUCCUGACAUUUAAACAAAACAAAAACAUUUGCUAUUAUCUCCCACGUACGCUCUGUGGUAUGCUAAAACUUGUGCAAGGUUCAUUAGAGAAGAGCUUGUAGUCAGUCUUUGGUAUACGCUUGGAGGAAGAGGCAUCUGCAGAAUAUAUUUCAUACCCCCACAGAUUAUUAUAAAAUUAUGAUUCAUUCACGUUAUAUAGAGUUCAGAGAGAGAGAGAGAGAGAGAGAGAGAGAGAGAGAGAGUUUCGACCUCGUUUUGUCCACGUCGACCCUUUUUGGAUUGGGGAUCAGAAGUGAAGAGCUCCUGAAGUGCUUCAACGGCUACAGUUCCAUUCCCAUCUUGUUGCAUGCCUCCGAUCAUGUUCUCUGACAAGAGUGCAAUUGGGGAUAUAUCUGUUGCUCUCAAGAAUGGUAUUGGUACUGUGUUUCCAGCUGCGUAGAUUGACCAUAACUGCAGGAAAGUAGACACAUUUUAACCCAAACACGCCAUUGACUAGACUGUCGCACAGACACAGCACAAAACUAACUAACCUUAUCUUGCAAAGCAAAAGCUUUCCUGCCAACAGUUUCAUUUUUCAAGGUACUACCACUUGCAUCACUGCCACCUUCAAUCUGUGUUCCAGCUAUGUUAUUUAGCUUGGUUCUAUGCUCAUGAGACGAACUGGCCUGGAUGCUCUGUGAAGUCGAAGCUUCAAUUGGAAGAUCGAUACCCGGAGGAUUCUUUUUGUCAUGUAUCCUAGAAACCAAUAUCAGGUUAAAUUAUGCUCAAGAAGCAAGUUCAUCAUCAGAUCCUGAUUGUUAUAUAUCCAUGUAACUUUCUUUUCAAUAAAUUGGAUGAUCUGAAGGAAAAUUUAAGCGCCUAUUUAUGUAAGUAGAUAUGCCCCCGAUAAAGUAAAAAAAAAAGGAUUACAAAGAUAAAAUACCAUGAGUCAGGUAAUUCUUCUCCGGAGACUUCGCGAGAAACACCUUCAACCUGAGAAGAUGAAGAUUCUUCUUUCUCUUUGACAAGUUGAGACCUGGAGUCACUCUCCUCUGCCUCAUCCUCACCAUGAACGAUCAUAGUUCCAAAGUCACCACCUGAUCACAUGAACCAGUGGAAACAUUAAGUUACAUGCUUUUGAAACCAUGAAGGGAGAAAACUCACAACAGCUUGGAUGCUAAAAAAGCUGCUGAAUAAAUCAUCAAAACAUCAUCCCCUAGAGUUUACUAUACAUCUCCAAGAAAAUGCACUCAACAAUUCUCAUGAUGGUUCGGAAAUGCAGAUUGCCAACUUGUAAAUUACUACAUAACAGGCUGAGGUUCACAGCACAUGUUUAGAGAAGCAUACUGAUUAGUCAACAACAACACACCAUUUGGUUGAAUUCCUUAUGUGGAAGUAUGCAAUAUGGACAUAGAUACGCAUGCAUAUAAUACUUGCCUUCUCCAGCCAACACAGUGUUGCCAGUUAUAUGCUGCCGAUUCAGGGUGCCAGUUAGAGGUGCUUCGGUGGAAUUUUGAGGAGGUUUAGCUGGAACAGUAAUUCCUACCUCUUCAUUUGAUUUUGGACCCAGUGUUGACUGUUACAAGAUUAGAUAUUAGGAAAGAAGAUGGGGGUAACUAAGAGAGGGGUAACCGUUUCAGAAAAACAAUACAUACAGUGUCCUCCGAAGAAGGUGCGACAACACUUUGCGCUUGCAAAGCCAUUACAGCUCUGAUUUGUCUGGACUUCUCAAUCUUUGGCGACAUUGCGGAAGCCCCAGUUUUACAUCUCUCAACAAAUUUGUGCUGAAUUUAAAACCAAAGAGUAAAUGGCAUCAGCAGAACACAGAGAACUUAAACACUAAAUUGCAUGCCAGUUAUGAAAUUGAUGGUAAUUCUGACAACUAAAGCUGAAGACAUCCUAAUAUUGACAAGACAGAGUCACAGUUAGCUGAAAAGAAAGAAAAAUGGAAGGAAAAAAGAGCGCAUUGAGAUACACAUACUAACGAUCUCUGGCGAACAGGCAAAAGACUAUCAUAGUUUACCUUAAGCAUCUCAGCUGCAGUUGGGCGAAGACGUGGUUCCUUUGUAAGGCACUUUGCAACAAAAUCAUGAAAGACCAGGGACCUGCAGAAAGUAGCAACCAACAGUCGAAUGUUGCAUAAGAUAUUGCCAAGACCUCUUUAACGAGAAUUGCAUUACUAUGAUUCAGAGCGCUUGUAGGUCAAUGCUUUUGUAUAAAAGUAUGCUGCUAACCACAUAUAUAAGUUUUCUUUGCCAAUGCUAGAAAAAUUAUUAGACCCAUGAGAAAAAUCGUUCUGAAGCUAAUAAUAGACCAUCAAUCGAUAAAGCACUGUAUAUAUUGUGGAUAUGCAAUUACUACAGCACCUGUGGACCCAUACGUCUAUGAAGCGACUACAAGGAACUAUACUUUUCACAAUAUAAGGUGCUGAUUGCGCUUGGAUGAUUUGGAAAAUUCUCUUCUGCCUUAAUGAUAAUCGUCGUGACAAUUCUAAAGAGGUUGAAGACAUACCAUUUUUCUUUAUCCUCGAGCAUUGGAGCUGGCUCGAUGGAUAUCAUGAAUAAAACCUAACAAAGACAGAUGUUUGAAAUGAGAUAUUAAAUAACGACAAUAGCAUGAUAAGAUUAGUGGCCAUCAAGUAAGCAAACAAGCAAAAGUUUCUCUCUCUUACGUAGUAUUCAACACUAACCAAUCAAGAGAAGGCCUUUUAAGAGUAUUUCAAGACCUCCAUUUUCUAGCCUAAUAACUCUCAUGUUUAUGAAAAAUUUCAUACCAGGUCUAUACAAAUUUCAUUCCAUUUCAAUUUAUAGGACAAACUUAACAACAGCAAGCUGCUUUGAGAUUGGUUUAUAACAGACCUAACCAAACCACUUACAACCAAAGUUAAUAAAUGGUUCGAGCCAACCACAUUUACAGAAACUCUUGAAACGAAGCCAAACUCGCACUGAUGUGCAACAAAUUGUUUUAGGUUUGGCUUCAAGUCAUUCCUUUCAAUUUUCCAAGCAGAGAAAAAAAACAAAACCAUUAAAAAGGGCGAGACUGUAUAGUUUGCCCAUCCUAAACUCAGCAAGGUAUCUGAUCACUUGGAAACAUAAUUAAAAAGCAAGAUGGCUUAAUAUAAAUAUACCAACCCUCAUCGGAUGAACUGCUGAUCUUGGAGGAAGCCCCUGUAAACAACACAACCAAAAGUCAGAAGAAAACCACAGAAUUAUUAAGAAUAAAAUAAGGAAGAAGCGAGUUAAGUGACAAGGGGUCAAAAGUGUUAAUCAAAAUGUACAAUUUUCUUCUUUUUUCCACAACAUGUCAGGCGAGACUCAGUACAGCUAACAGGACAAUCAGCUCUCAAAACAGUCACUAACUUAGCUUGCUUGCACAAUUGUCGGAUAAAAAGUACUAAACUGUCACCUAAGAGAAGUAGUCCCAUAUUACCUCUGCCAUCUCGAUAGCUGAAACACCAAGAGCCCAUACAUCCACCUGUAUUAAAGAGUCAAAAUGUCAUCAAGUUGUAAACAGGAAAAUCCUUAAUUCUACUCUCUAGAAAACUUCGCAGUCUUAGUUUCUAACUGGCUUAUGUACCAGAUUCUAAUUUCCUCUAAAAGUAGCAUCCUGUGAACUGGUAUGCAAACCCAUUUUUAGUAAAACCUUAAUUACUUUCUUCAAGAGAUAUAAUAUUAGAUUUAGUAGACGUGAAAAUUUAAACUCCAGCAAUUAACAUUUAGAUAUGAAAGGGACCACUAAAUCAGUCCAUAAAAUGUGAAGUUUUUUAAAUUAAUCGAAAAACUUGAAGGAGUUUAUCAGACAAUUUACUGUCAAAUAGGACACCUACCUUCCCAUCAUAACGAUUUUCCUGAAUAACCUCCGGGGCCAUCCAAUGUGGAGUCCCAAUGAACUUCAAACAAGACAAAACAUUAAAGAAUCCACCAUCAGGCGCAGAAAGUCUCUAAGGCUUUAAUAGCCCGACUGAUCAAAGAAAGCUUGAAGCAUUAACCAUAGGAACUUUAUUCAAAUAUGUAUUUACCGUGUUUCGCUUCGACAUAGUCCGCGUAAGUUGAGCUGCAACCCCAAAAUCACCUGAAAAGAUAAGGUAGCGAACUUUGGAAUCAGCAUGCAGCUGUAAAGCAAUAAAUAAAAAUUCUAAUUAAAAACCGAUAAGGCUAAGGAAGAUUCUAAGCUUUAAAACAUAAAAGCCUGCAUGUGUAAUAAAAAUAACAUAAGUAAAGGCAACUCUUCAAACAGGUGGUUAUAUAAUUCCCCAAGCUAACUUACCCAACUUGACCUCUCCUUGUUCAGUUAACAAGAUAUUACCACCUUUAAUGUCUCUAUGGACUUUAUAUAUUGAGUGCAAGUAUGCAAGGCCCUACAAAAUAGAUACAAACAGAAGUAUAAGGCCUAAAACAUGUUGAAGCAAAUGAGCGCAAGCAAAGACGGAACCAUCAAAUACAGGAGAGCAGACAUCAUUUUUCUUCUUCAUGCUUCUAGCCAUUCUAUAAAGUGAAAAAGGUACAGACAAUUGUGUGCAUACCUUCAACGCCUCCCGGCAUAUAUAUGCUAUCUGAUACUCCUCCAACGCCUCCUCGGUAACAUUCAUAAGAUCAGCAACACUUCCACCUCCACAAUACUCCAUCACUAUCUGUCAGAAGACAUAAAUUAAUAACUAGAGAGAGCGAAUACAUAAACUAUAAUAUAUAAACGAAGAAAAAAAAACUGAUUCCAAAUAGUAAGAGCUCCUAUAUACAACAAAGAUAACCAAGCUGAGGCCCAGAUGCUCACCCAAAGAUAAUCUUCUCCUUGGUAACUCCCAAGGUAGCGGACAACAUUUGGAUGGUUACACUGCUGCAGCAUCUCAAUUUCUCCCCGGAUCUCUUCAUAUCCCUCCUCCUGAUAAAAGUAGAACUUGAAUCACAUAGAGUGCUUUAGCAACUAUGACAUUUUAACUUAUGCUGAGGACAAGCUUUUAAUACCCCUUCAGUAAGUGAUAUGACUUUAACAGCAACAAUCUCCGAUGUUUUCAAAUCUCUUGCCUUGUAUACAGAUCCAUAUGAUCCUUUCCCUGCCAAUCCAGAUGCCAGAUUUGAUAUAGUAAGCAAAAAUUGGAACAAGCACUGAGGGAUAUUGAUAGCUGAUCAUGAUCAUAGCAACAUAAUGGAGCAAAUCCGAUAGAGACAAACACCAAAUUAACUCUAUGAAGCUAGAUAUGCUAAUUUACCAAGUUCAUUGAGGAAUUCGUAUUUGGUGGUUGGAUCUUCUCUAGUAAUGCUAUCCGGAAGAGACGUAGUCGACAUCUUACUGUUCUGCUGCUGCAUUUUCCGAUUAUCUUCACCUUGAAGCUUCGAAGAAGAAGAGGAAGGAUCCAAUUUCCGAGUCUUACCACCAAAAUUUGAUUUCUGCAUACUCGCAACAGCUCUUCCCAUAGUUGACAUAUCAAUCUCCUUCUCUUUAUUCUUUCCCUUUUUAGACGAAGAUUUCACAACAAACGUACCGUACUCUCCGUCAUCAUCAUCAUCUUCUUCUUCUUCGUCUUCCUCAUCGGAAGAUUCCUCAUCUCCACCUCUCGCUCUCCUCCUAGGACUAACUCCCAUACGCGGUUUGGAAGAGUACGGACUGUUCUUACUAUGACUACUCCGAUCUGUUUUCACAAUCAUCGUGCCGAAAUCUCCGGUUUCGUCACCGUCGUCGUCGUCGUAAUCGAGCGACGCGCCGCCUCCGAAAUCUUUGGGAAGACGCUUGAGAAGAGGAGGAAGCAUAGAAUCGUCUUCAUCAUCUUCCUCUCCUUCUCCGUCACUAUCACCUUUGUAAACCAUUGUAGCGUAUAAAUCGACAUUUUCGUCUUCCUCAGGUUUGGCUUUACGUUUAUCUCGAUUUCGACCUUGAUCAGAAUCGGAGUCGGAGUGGACUACGAAAGUGGAGUAUAUGUCGGAUUUGGGCUCCGGUUUCCGGCUCCGACGAGAUCUCGGCGAGUUAUGAUCCAUCUAUGGCGGCUCUAACCGUCGUCGCCGGGAGAGAGAAAAAGAGAGUCAGGCAGACUACUUCUCGUCGUUAAAAUUAAUGAUGAACAAAAAAAUCAUUAAAAAAAAGGAAUGGGCCAACUAAAUUUUUUUGCAAGCUGGAAUAUUAAUUUAAUUCUAUGUUUGUCUAUGCACCCUCUAAACAUUAGUGUUUCUUGCAUAAUUAUUUGUUACAGUAAAUAUAUAUUGGUGUAAAAAAAUAAAUAAUGGUUAUAAAGUACGACAAAAAGUUGCAGAAGAUAGAGAAAAAAAAAGAUAACGGUAUAUUCCGUUGAAGAAAAAAAAAUGGUAUAUUCCGUUUUGACCUUACCGUUUUACCGAUUACCAAUUAAAGUGUUCAAUUGCGGAAAUGGGAUACAAGAUUGUUCUUAUUCGUUUUUCUUUAACAUUUAUUUGAGGUUUUUAUGAAUCGAAACGUGAAAAAAAUAGUAGAAAUCUAGAGAGAAUGUUAUUGUUUGAAAGACGAGAAUACAACAAUUGAAUCACAUAGAAAUUUAGAGAUUAUACAGAUUUUAUAUUCUGCUAGGGACCAAGAGGCAAGAGGUUCCACGAAAAUGAUACAAGGGUGACUUGGGAUAAAGAAGAUAGAGUGACCAAGUUUGCCUCAAAUAGCUAGUUGCUACCACCACCAAAGAGGUAAUUCAGAGACGAGCCACCUCCUGGAGCUGAGUGAACUUUGGUCGAUGGCCGGUCCUGCACAACAACCACAAGAUGUUUUCGUAACUGUACCAUAACUUUUAGACAUUUGAUUACUUUGUUAGCGCACAAAAAAACAAAACAAAGCUUCAUUGUCAGCCAACUAAUCUAAAAAAAGUAAGACGCAGAUUUUUUUGCUAUCCGAUAACCAGCACACAGAACCCGAUUCAUUGAAAGAAGGAGACAUACCGUAAUGAAGUUGCCUGUGUUCUGUCCUUCUGCACGCAUGUAAUUAUUUGUAGAGUUGCUAUUGAGACCAGCAGGAACUUGUUUGAUGCUAUCAACAGCCUUUGGAGCAGCAGUUUGAAGAGGUGGAGCAGGAGCAGAAGACUGGGUUUCGGCUGGAGCUUUGUUAACGGUUGAUGGCUUUGGAGCCUCUCCGCUCCCAAAAAGAUAUCCCAAAGAACUCUGCCCUCCACCGGCACUAACUCCACGACCCAUUCUAUCUCUCUUGCUUCUCUCAAAGAUUCUUUAGCUUUUGGGUUCAAAAAUAUGAUAAAAUCUUGAAUCAGAAUCAUAUUUUACACAAAAACAUUAUCCACUAAACGAUAUGAAACAACAAAAAAGAAUAGUGGAGUGAUCACUCAAUUAAUCAUAAUUUGUUUGUGAAAGCUUCUGUUAAAAAACAUUCACAUCUACAACGCAACAAAACCAAAAUAUGAAUUAAGACUUGAGAGUCAUUAACAACUUAUCAUCACCAAUAUAAUAACAUCAUUGAAAAGACUUGCCAGAUGAAUUUUGAACCACACUAUCUUCAUCUUACCCUAACAAAAGCAAUUGCUCAAUAACCUAGCUAGAGGCUAGAGUAUACAAACAUUCUUUCAUACAUCAAUCAAAUUCUGCAUAUCCGAACCUAUCCGUUGAUGCAAUGCUAUAUAUGAACACAACAUGUCAACAUACAGAGAAAAAAAACAACAAAUGAAAAAAACUUCUCAAACAAACACCUAAGUCGAGAAGGAAACAACACAAAACACCAAUCAAGUUUACCUGAUCAGCAAGGUGAUUUGAGAAGAAGCCAAGAAGAAGAGCCAAUGAGAGAUAACAAGAAGCCUGUGAAUUGUGAUAUAUAUAUACUAAAUAAAGGUGACGGAAAAUAGUAAGGUAAUGCUUAUCUGGCACGUCAUUAUCCAACAGAACAACAAUCACUGUAUAAGCCGGUGUCGUUUUGUAACUUUAAACCUUUUUCUAGUGUAAUCCAAAAAUUAACUUAGCUUUCUUCCUAAUCUUUUUGCAUUAGUGAUUCAAAACUUUUAUAAAGCAUUACUGUUUGAUAAAACUGUUACAAAUUAUAAAAAAACGGACCCAUUCUCAAAUGUGUUUUUGUUCAUAUCUCUCCAAAAAAAAAAAAAACAAAUCCGACAAUCUCUAACUUUAUGUUUACAGGAUCCUAUGUCCGGUUCGGUUUACAUAACCGGUAACAUUGAUCAAGAAGAUUUCUUGGGAGGUAAUUGAGAAAUCUCGACGAGUAUUCGGUUCAAAGACUGAGGACGAGAGAAGAAUGGUGCAUGAUCAGAGCCCUUGAGAUUGAAAACUUGUUCAGGAGGAUUCGAUUUGAUCAUUGCAUCUUGUAGAGAAACCGGUACAGCGUAAUCAUCCUCCAUGGUUUUGAUGUAGAACCGUCGGAUUGAACCGUAGUUUUUCUCCGACACGUGAAGCUUUUCGACCACUGGCGCGAACGGGAUCGGUCUCAUGGAUACCGACGCUAAUGCAACGUCCUGUACCAAAAAAAGACAAGUCGGGUUUAGUUAAACCGAAUUGUACCGGUUCAGCUAUUUAUUAGCCUUAUGUGUAGUGUACCUUUGGAGGGCUCUGAUUAAAGAAAAAGUCUCUAAGCAAAGAUCUGUCGAAAUCAACGGCUGUUGGAGGGUUCUUUUUUCCGUUGGCGUACAGAAAUAGAUGGACUUGUUCCAUCAGAUCAUAAUUUGAGUCAGGCUGCAAAUCAAAUGGUUGCAAUUAGAUUUUAAAAAUUUUUGGUGCUUAGUUAAUUUUAACAAGAUAUUGUGUAAAAUAAUUUGUUAUCUUAUCAUUUUGGCAAAUAAAUGCCAAAAUUAGGCUACUUAGUGCAUAAACUCUUUAAAAAAUAGAAACAAAUGUUUUGGAGAAAAAAGAAAAAGAAAAAACCUGUUGGUUAAAGAGAUCAAGAGUGCUUUGGGCAUUAGCCAACAUAGCAGCAGAGAUGAAGAUAGCCUUCGAGAUCUUAGAAGGGUACAUCUCCAUGGCAUAAGACAUACAAGCACCUCCAAAAUCAUGCCCCACUAAUAUCACCUGCUCACACCCAUCAAUUUAUAUCUUAAAUUUGUUAGUAAAUUACCAUUUUUAGUGUUAUUGAGACCAAAAAAAAAAAACAUUAUGAUAAGAUGAAAGUGAGACCUUCUCGGUGGGUUUAAGGGUGUCGAAGAAGUGGAGGAGGGGUUUGACGUAUUGAGAGAGGCUAGUGAUGUUGUUUGUAUCGAAAGAGCUGACACCAGAACCGGUCAAGUCAACGGCAUCGACUUGGAAACCAUGUUUCUCUAAGAGCGUUAUGGUUUUGUACCAACACCAUGCACCAAACCCUCCUCCAUGAACCAGGACGAACCGCUUCGUCUCCGCACCUUCCACCUUUAGCUCCUGCUUCCAUCCAUUUAUAUCAUAGUAUCAUAUAAUGAUUAAUGAGUCUCAAUAGCGAAUUUGGCUAAAACAAAUUAAAAGAUUAACACAAAUAUGUUUAUGUAAUCAUCCAUGUGUAACAAGUGAUUGUUCUCACAAAAACAUUUAACAAAAAUGUCGUUUUAUAUAUUUUUCAUUCAAUGUUUUUGGUUAUUCACUUCAAUUCCUCAAAUGAAUCUAUAGGAACUAGCCGGUUCAAUUUUUACCGGUUUGAACAGUUCGAUGAAUCUAGGGGUGUAUCAUGUAACGGAGCCAAAUAAAUGGACAAUAUAAAAGUACUUGCCUUGUCUAGGAGCUGAUUGGGUUUAAGAACAGGAUCGGUGCUUGAUCUCUGCCUAUUACUAGAACUUCUAACGUAUCCAUAAGUGGAUUUCUUAGGAGUCAAGGCGCCGGAAACAGAACCUACGGAGGCGGCUACAGCGGCAGGAGGUGGCUGAGUGUAAACGACGGAGGUGGAGCGUCGGAAAGGAGGAGCAGAGUUGCUGUUACGAGGCGUUUGACUAAAGAGGAUAUUAGUGGCGGCUAAGGUUUGUUCUUGGAUUAGAGAGUCUUUCUCGUGAUCAUGAUGAUGCUCUUGGUGGUGUCUUUCUCUGAUCUUUUUUUUUGUCUUGAUCCCUCCUUUCUUGGACGUAGACGAAGUUGAGGAUCCGGAGCAAGAGAGAGAUGGAAGUAAUGUCCGGCGUCGGAAAGAUGGUAUUAGAGACAGCCUCCGAACGUGUUUCUCCGAGCUAUUACCGUUGACGACGGAGCUAGGUUUCUUCUGGUUUGGAUCUUGUUCUUGCGAUAUGCAUCUUAAAGAGUUUCCCAUUUUUUUAAUUUUUGGUUUUUCUUGUAAUGUGUACAAGUUUGUGUGUAUGUGUUUUAUAUAUAUGUAGCAUGUUCGUGCUUGCAUGUGUAUUAUUUUGAUUUCUGAUGGGUGAAAAUGAAGAGUUGAGACUCUCACGUUGUGAAGCUGUACUUAAUGUAAAUCUGUUUGAUCGUGAUAGUUUUGACACACUUUUUUUACUUGAGACUCACGAAAACGCACAUAUGAGAAAAAUUGAUUUAAAAUUUUGAUUAUUCUAUCAUCAACUAAUGAUAAAAAAAUAAAACUAAUGAAAAUUGUUUGCCUAUACAGAUGGAGAUAGAAGAAAGAGGGAGGAACAUGGAAGGGCACUUUCUUUGAGCAUUUUGCUACUUUGACUUUCGAGUGCAGACUAUUUCUUUACAACGAUAAAACAUAUUUAUCCUCGUAUCUUUCUUGUUUAUAUAUAGAUCUUUUUCUUUUGUCAGUCCCUAGCCAUUGUGACCAACGACUACGACUAAAUGUUGUUUAUCCGAUAGCUACCAUCAAGCGAUACUUUUGGUUGCUAAUUUUUUUAGCGAUUUUCACUGAAUUUGGUGACUACAAAACAAAUAAUAUGGCGAUCACUGAAUCGGAUUUAUUCGGAUUCGGAUAAUUCGGGUAGGAGAGUUUAUUAUCCGUUCGGAUUUUGUGACUAUUCGGAUCGGGUUCGAUUCGGAUAGUGUCAGAUUCGGAUCGGUUUCGGUUCGGAUAGUGUCAGAUUCGGAUCGGUUUCGGUUCGGAUAGUGUCUUUUUCG